ACUUCCGGGUGCAGCACUUCUGUGACUGACUGUACUUAGUCUCCUGGUUAUUUCUCUUGAGCAAACUGUUCUUCUGAAACCGAAGUUUCCUUUUGUAAAGACGAAAUAUUCACGCAUAGUCGUUUUGCUUGGGAGUGUCCUGGGUUUUGUGUUGAGAGUGCUCUGUGGGCUUAUGAAAAAAGGCAUGUGUUCGCUAGAAGGAAGGGAACAGUAAAACCUGGGGAGGUGUUAUGUCUGUGUUCUGACUUGGGAUGGAUCAUCUUUUGUGUAAGCCCGGCACUGAUUCCAUGCCAGCUCGCCACCUGGUUCCUGCGUAAGAGGGUCCUAAUCCUGGGCCGUUGCUAUUUUUAUAGCUAGAGAUGGGCCCAAGAGGGUUGAAAUUCUGCAGGGAUGAAGAAGUUGAGUUUGUUGAAAUUCUCAGCCUUGUGUUAUGGAACUGAUGUUUUUAGUUUUUCUUGGCUUGGGUAUGAGAAUCCUGCUGUGUGAGGGGAUAACGUUCCUGUUUACUGAGUGAUUUAUGAAAGACUGGGAAUAUGUAGUAAGUUCCCGAGUAUAGAGUUUUGGAGACUGUGAUACUUUUCUGUAAUGAAUGAAGUUUGUAUUUUCACUCUUUUGAAGAAAGUUGACGCUAUUAAAAUCAAGCCUUUCAAAAUCUACAACAGAUAGAACUUUAGUCAUGGUUCUUUUUCUUUACAGUAAAGUAUAACCUUUUAUUUGAGGGGAAUGAGCACUGAAAAUAUUAAUGCAUUCAACUUAAAUAUUUGUUAUUAUUUUUGUGUGGGUGCAGGUGUGUGCAUGCCACGGUUUGUAUGUGGCGGUCACAGCACAGUAUUUGGGAGUUGAUUCUCCCGUUCUUCCAUUACAGAAGGAAAUGUCUUACAUUGUAGGUUUCAGAUAUUUAAUUCCGGUUGUCAGGCUUGUGUGGUAAACAACUUUACCCUCUGAGCCAUCUUGCUGGCCCUGCAUUCAACGUUUUUGUUUUUUAAUUAAAAUUUAUUUAUGUGGUGUGUGUGUGUGUGUGGUUAGGUGUGUACCACAGAGUGAGUAUGUGUAGAUACUUGUGGGAAUUGGUUCUCCCCUUACACUGUUGGGUUCUGGGGACUGAACUUAGGUCGUGCAGUCUGGCAGGAAGUACCCCGACUCACUGAUCAUCUCAACAACCCAGAACACAGCUUUUAAACCAAAUUGAAACAAAAAUCUUAAUUAAAAGUUUUAAAAACGAUCUAUUUUUUUAAAAAUAUGAAUGGAUUUUUAAAAUAGCUAUUCAAGAGUUUGUAUCAGAAUCUUGUUGUAGAAUUAUAACCAGAUCAUUGACCCUCAGUGAACCUUGUCAUUUUGAAUGGGAGGGAAUUAAAGACUGAUACUAAUAGAUAAUUGAAAGUGAAUCAUGAAGUCUUACUUUAGACUUUUUCUUAAGCAAUUUUUAUUUUUAACUUUGCUUUUAGAUAAUAAAAUUCCAGAGAUGAUAUCUGGC
rnacentral:lncRNA from 1 species